rnacentral:rRNA from 1 species
CUCAGGACGAACGCUGGCGGCGUGCCUAAUACAUGCAAGUCGAGCGGACAGAUGGGAGCUUGCUCCCUGAUGUUAGCGGCGGACGGGUGAGUAACACGUGGGUAACCUGCCUGUAAGACUGGGAUAACUCCGGGAAACCGGGGCUAAUACCGGAUGGUUGUUUGAACCGCAUGGUUCAAACAUAAAAGGUGGCUUCGGCUACCACUUACAGAUGGACCCGCGGCGCAUUAGCUAGUUGGUGAGGUAACGGCUCACCAAGGCGACGAUGCGUAGCCGACCUGAGAGGGUGAUCGGCCACACUGGGACUGAGACACGGCCCAGACUCCUACGGGAGGCAGCAGUAGGGAAUCUUCCGCAAUGGACGAAAGUCUGACGGAGCAACGCCGCGUGAGUGAUGAAGGUUUUCGGAUCGUAAAGCUCUGUUGUUAGGGAAGAACAAGUACCGUUCGAAUAGGGCGGUACCUUGACGGUACCUAACCAGAAAGCCACGGCUAACUACGUGCCAGCAGCCGCGGUAAUACGUAGGUGGCAAGCGUUGUCCGGAAUUAUUGGGCGUAAAGGGCUCGCAGGCGGUUUCUUAAGUCUGAUGUGAAAGCCCCCGGCUCAACCGGGGAGGGUCAUUGGAAACUGGGGAACUUGAGUGCAGAAGAGGAGAGUGGAAUUCCACGUGUAGCGGUGAAAUGCGUAGAGAUGUGGAGGAACACCAGUGGCGAAGGCGACUCUCUGGUCUGUAACUGACGCUGAGGAGCGAAAGCGUGGGGAGCGAACAGGAUUAGAUACCCUGGUAGUCCACGCCGUAAACGAUGAGUGCUAAGUGUUAGGGGGUUUCCGCCCCUUAGUGCUGCAGCUAACGCAUUAAGCACUCCGCCUGGGGAGUACGGUCGCAAGACUGAAACUCAAAGGAAUUGACGGGGGCCCGCACAAGCGGUGGAGCAUGUGGUUUAAUUCGAAGCAACGCGAAGAACCUUACCAGGUCUUGACAUCCUCUGACAAUCCUAGAGAUAGGACGUCCCCUUCGGGGGCAGAGUGACAGGUGGUGCAUGGUUGUCGUCAGCUCGUGUCGUGAGAUGUUGGGUUAAGUCCCGCAACGAGCGCAACCCUUGAUCUUAGUUGCCAGCAUUCAGUUGGGCACUCUAAGGUGACUGCCGGUGACAAACCGGAGGAAGGUGGGGAUGACGUCAAAUCAUCAUGCCCCUUAUGACCUGGGCUACACACGUGCUACAAUGGACAGAACAAAGGGCAGCGAAACCGCGAGGUUAAGCCAAUCCCACAAAUCUGUUCUCAGUUCGGAUCGCAGUCUGCAACUCGACUGCGUGAAGCUGGAAUCGCUAGUAAUCGCGGAUCAGCAUGCCGCGGUUGAAUACGUUCCCGGGGCCUUGUACACACCGCCCGUCACACCACGAGAGUUUGUAACACCCGAAGUCGGUGAGGUAACCUUUUAGGAGCCAGCCGCCGAAGGUGGGACAGAUGAUUGGGGUGAA